GACCUCAAAUCAGGUAGGACUACCCGCUGAACUUAAGCAUAUCAAUAAGCGGAGGAAAAGAAACUAACAAGGAUUCCCCUAGUAACGGCGAGCGAACCGGGAAGAGCUCAAAUUUGUAAUCUGGCGUCCUCCGGGUGUCCGAGUUGUAAUCUACAGAAACGUUUUCCGUGCCGGACCGUGUCCAAGUCCCUUGGAAUAGGGUAUCAAAGAGGGUGACAAUCCCGUGCUUGACAUGACGACCGGUGCCAUGUGAUACGUUCUCUACGAGUCGAGUUGUUUGGGAAUGCAGCUCAAAACGGGUGGUAAAUUCCAUCUAAGGCUAAAUAUUGGCGAGAGACCGAUAGCGAACAAGUACCGUGAGGGAAAGAUGAAAAGCACUUUGGAAAGAGAGUUAAACAGUAUGUGAAAUUGUUGAA
rnacentral:rRNA from 1 species